AUUCUCAUGGUCUCUCUAACAAAUAACAACGAACUUUCGCAGCUGCACGGCUGGAACAAGGCUCCGGUCGCUCUCCAGGAUCUUCUGUACCCGGAAGGAGGAGCUCAGACAGGGCUACAUUCAAAGAGAGAUGGGAAAGAAAUCCAGCAAAAUGAGUACAGUUCUCCAUGAAGAGGGAGACAAAUGGGGGCUGUUGGAGGCUCCUCAAUGAGGCUUCUGUGCCUCCACUGGAGCCAGUUUUCCAGAAUGAAGGGAGCCUUCCUUCCCCUCAUGUAGAGAGUGUUUACCCAGAGAUGCUGAUACCGUCAGUCUGUCACUGCAGGAUCAAAACCAGGACUGCACAGGCCCUGAUAAAGAGGCCAGAUGUGCCACUUUAAUUAAUGCUAUUUGCUAAACACUGCAACAAUUUAGUGCAAUGUGAUAGCACAGCAAUCUCUGGGGCCAGGAAGCGCCGUCCCCAAGGCAUCCCCAGCUGUUCCAGCUUUCUUUUCCACUCUGCCAUUUUAAUACAUUUAGAAACCUAAAGGAAUUGCAGGGGAGCCACAACAUGAAAUAAAGAAGGGGAAGGGAGGCAUGUGGGCAAACAAAAACAGAGGGUGAGGGAUGUGCAGCCGUGGCUGGGGAUAGUGAGUGCAGGGGACAGCACAUGCAUUGUCCAGCACAAACUGAGCCCGACAAACACAGUCCCCGGGAGCACCAGCAUCACAAACAGAGGUGUCUGUAGGAGCUGCCACCUUCAGAUCCCCCAGGCACAGCAAACACAUGCACAGGGUGUUGCACAAACACCCUGUAACACAUUCCCAAACACCCCUAACACCGUGAGGGCACCAGUGCCGGGCUGAACAUGGCCCUUGAUCCUUCCCCUCCCCAAACAUGGGCUCAUCCCUCACUCUCUGCUCCCUGGCACGUCCGGGUGAGCUCAUGCAAGAAACAGAAGAGCUCCAAAGUUUCUGGUUUAGACACUUAAAUCCUCUGGGAUCUUUCUACUUAAGUACUGGAGGAAGUCAAAAAGAAACAAUAAUGAGGGAAAAAUUAAGAAAAUUUCUCUAAAAGCUCACACUUUUCAGGGGAAGUGAUGGGAAAUUAGAGGCCUGUGAUAGAUGGGCUAAUUUCCUUAACUGACAAUCCAGACAGCUCCCUGCAAAAAAAAUCCCAGUGUUUGGGUUUGAUAUGUGAAUUUGUGCCACUUAUUUAGAAAAAUACCUACACUUCUUGCUUGUUUCUUUGUUUUCUUUUUUUUUUUUUUUAUCAGCAUUUUUAUACUGAGGAUAAUUAAAAGGCAUCAGAGUGAAGAUGAGCAGGAGCAUUGCCCUCUUCCAGCCUCCUCAGAGAGGGGAAUGCUCUUGCUAACUUAAAUAAGUUUGACAGCCUUUAAAUAUAAACAGCAGAUGAGAAAUGCUGAGAAAUCUUUAAAAGAAGAAAAUUAGAAAAAAAAUAUCAAGUUUCUGAGAAGCUGAGUGAAAGAAUAUCAGCCCUGUCACCCCUUUCAGCACUGGACAAAUAAGGAUGAAGGGACAUAAUUAGGUCUUGGGAAGUAGCAUGGUCUUGCUGGGGAGGAAGAGACAAAACAGCAACAAGGUAGAACAUUUCAUGCAAAAAUCAUAUAAAAGUCCAAAGUCUCUGGCUGACCCUCAGCAGCAAUUCCUUUCCUCCUGGGAGAGCAGCAGAGUGUGGUGAUGAGGUGAAUGAGCUGUCCCUUGAGUGUGCCUUGCCCAUAGAGACCUGUCCAGCCCACCAAGGAAUGACAGCAGUAGGUGAUGAAGAUAUGGGGCACAGCUGGGAUCACCCCUGUGAGAAGACAGAGCAUGGUGAGGAUUAUGCUUCAUUCGGGUCCUGCUUGACAUCAAGGACCUGGGAUGGAUUGAGGUUCGGAAAUUCCUCUGGGACACCUCAAUCCUCCUUUGCAGAUGGCUUUAAGCAUCUUUGGAAUUGGUGAAAGCUCCUGAGGCACUUGCUUACAUUAAAAGGCCUUUUUGGGCCAUAAUGCUUGUUUUUGCUGACAGAAAUUAUGCUUGUGAAGGCAGGACUCUAUCCCUGUGUGUGGCCAUUCACAGAUUCCUGUGUGUAUUUUGCUGCAUAACACAGAGUCAAGACUCCAAACUACAAAGUUUUGAAAGUCCAAAUCUACAAAUCCUUUCCUACACACCACACUGGUUGCAGAAAAAUGCUACCUUUCAAGUAAGGAUAGGAAAUUAAAGGAAAUUAAUAUGUUACUCAACAAGAUUAAUUAAUUAGCUAAUGUGAAUACAUUACUCAGGAUCAGUAAAACCCCAGAUAACUUUUUAUGGCUGAGGAAAUAUGGUCUAAAGUGGUUCAAUUCCACCCCAGUAAAAGUAGCAUUCAUUAGGGAGGCUGAUCUGGAGAGAGAGGUGCUGAGAGGGGCAGGGUGCCAGCAGCUACCUGGUAAUCACAGGAUGGAACAGGAUACUGUUCGCCAGGAUGAAGGACUUGAGGUUACAAGAUCAUAAAACAGAAGAGUCCAUAAAGUUUCUGAGUUCUGAAGGCAGCCCUUAAAGUUAAUAUCAUGCAGUAUCUGAGCCAUAACAACAAGUCACCCAGAGGCAUUUAUUAUUCCAUAAGAGCCACCCACACCACAUGUAUUCCCAAAGUCCUUUCAUGUCUCAGGAACAUUCCUCUUAUUUAAAGAUUUAUGGGAAUAUCAUUGCAUCUUAAGGAAAUACUAAUCAAUUACUUUAAUUUCUGCCAUUUUAAUAACUCUCCCAAGGCACAAACUGACCAUAUUUGACAGUAUAGCUGUUAAGCUGCAGGAGAUGUCAUUUCCCCUGGGUAACUGAACAUCAUGCCAAUCCUGCUGUCAAUAAAGGCUGCAUUAUAUAACCGUAGUUGUAUGUUAAAUCACCAUGUAUUUCAUAUUAUCGCCCUGUGUUAUCCUCUAAACAUCCUCUGGAAAUAUUUUUACAUGUUAUUCUGUGCAGAGGAAUGGUUUGGCACCAAAUUCAUUGUGUUUCCCUCUUAACUAAAGGGAAUUAAGUGCUGACAUUCCCCUGAAUUACGACAGAAGCCAGGUGUUUCAUCGCAUUCAGCUCUCUGAAAAAUUACUCUCCUCUUCAAAAUGGAUAUGUAGCCCUCAAUGCUUUUAAGUUACAGCUGACUGUCUUCUCUUGUCUUCCAUUGUUUAAAAUGGAUGGGUUUCUUUUUCUUUUAAAGCAAACCAAUACAUUAUAUUAAAAUCCCUUAAGAAAUUACCUUUAGGUGACUUUGAAAACCCAAGCCCGAAUACAUCACUGUGAUUCUUUAGGAGGCACCUAAUGUCUGUGAGUUACACUUUACCAUUUGACUCUGAGCAGUAUCCAUAUAUCUCUGCAUUUCUCUCAUGCAUCAGUGGAACAGCUCUUUCCUUAAUGACCACUUCUGCACGCUGCUCCCUCCAGCACCCCUCUGCAGCAGGGCCUUUUGCUUGUUAACAUUAACAAAUUAAUCCUGUUCUCCUGGACUGCUGGGUUUCACUCCUGGCACCACUGACCAGAUGGAAAGAGACAAGUGGAGUGAAUGGUGGCACCUCAUUCUCCUGAUGCAUUAGGUGCCCUUCAGUGCAAGUGCUCUUUAGAGCAAUGAACAGCUCCCUCCCAGGGCUGUGAUAUUGAUCACUUUGCACCAGGGCACUUUGAGCUCUCUGUGCAGGAAAACCAGGUUGUGACACAGCAGGCACUUCAGGGCUUCAGAAAUGAGGUGGAGCUCAUUGAUGUUAGAGACCACCCAGGAUGAACACGCUGCCUUCCUUGUUCUGGUCCGUGCUCUGCUCCUUUCCUGCUUACCUGGUGCUCUAACCUUGAUCUUAGCUGAAAUUCAAGGACAGGACUUUUCCCUUCCAUGGACAGAGGGUAUUGAGUACUUGCUACAUCUUUUCUGACAGCAUUUAUUUUAACACUGUUCUUUCUUGUCCAGGAUUAAUAACUGCAGACCCUUCUUGCAGCUGAGGAUUUCUGGGCUCCUAAUAGCAUUUACUUGUUACUUUGAACUACAACUCUUGCUCCAUACCUUAUUUUUGAAAUGAAGUGCCCCAAACUGGAGACACCCUAAAUACACAAAAAAUAUUCUGGAGAAGAGAGGUUAUGUGGAGACCUCAGGGCAGCCUCCCAGUAUCUGAAGGGGGCUUGGGAAGCUGCAGCUCCCUGGGCUGGAUCCUUUUGGCUGUAGAAAGUUCUGUUGCUCCAUUAACAAUAAAGGAGCAGACUGGAGUACCUGGGCUGAGCUUGGAAAAUCCCCAGUGAGCAGGAGCUGCAGGCAGGGAUAGACAGUUUGCUUUCCUAUCUGAGAUUUUGCUUUCCUAGCUGAGAUUUUGAUUUUCCAGCUGAGGUUUUGCAGAGUCAUUUCAGCCUGAGAGGAAUUAAAGAUGGACACCAAGGUCUUUCAAAUAAAAGCUGUCUGAGCACAGGUCUGGCAGUGCUUCCCUUUUGCAGACAGCAUUCCAAGUGUUUUCCUAUCUGCACAGCCUUGCACCAGCAGCAAAGCGAGGAAGAUGUUUCUACGCUUCAAAGGGCUUUUUCUCCUUGAUUCAAUACUUUAAAGAUGGUGGUUACAGUGUAUAUAUACAGGCACUUUCUGCAAAGCAAGAAUUUGAUAUUCAAAGGGGAAAGGAUGCUGCCUCUCUCAUCUUAAUGGUGGAGAGGGCAUUGGUCUUGCAAAACAGGGAAGGUGGAGGAAGAAUAAACAGUUUUUGGAAAUGCCUCCCUACUUGUUUUUCUAUUUGACCAUUCUAUAUUUUGAAGCUAAAAAUUAUAAAAUCAGAAAAAAAAUAAUAAAGAAUCCGUUUUACAGGCAGUGGAGGAGAGGUGUAAUAUUUACUAUCAAAAUUUGAACUUUCAGAUCUCUAAUGUGGUGCAAAAUGUGUGAGAUACCUUCAACCAACUCCUAAAACAGAAAGAAUAGUAACAUUCCUUCUAGAAAAGACACAGUUGAUGUCUAAAGGCUACUGGGACUGUUCUUAUUCAGUGCCAAAAAUUAUUGGGAUAAGAAAGUUUCCUUAAUUUUUCUGGACAUAGACUUUUAUCAUUAGAAACCCAGUUUAAAUCAUGAACAUCCCAAGAUGACAACCCAAAUGUCCUGGGUGAAGAAUAAAAACUGAAUUCUGCUUCUGCUGGUCCCCAAGUCUCCAUGAAAAUGGGAGAAUCAACUGAAAUGUCAAACAAUCCAUAACUUGCCAAACCAGUGGAAAUGUUGCCACUUCCCCCAUUUUCAGUGAAUUUAUUUAUCCUCAGAUUUCAGGAAAGCAGGGGACAUCUCCAAGGCCUUUCAGCUUUAUUGGAAAAUUUGUUCUACUUCUGAAAUUUGCUGUGCUCUGCAAAUUUGCUACCAGUCUGAGAACUUUCAUGUCUCUCUCUGUUUAUUCCUGGAAAACUGGCAAAGUUUAUGGUGCUCCUGAAAAGGUAUUGCACUUGCUGGAAUGUUGUCAGUGGGAAAAGUCCUUCUGGAGAGGGGUGAUUCUGCAAUAUCUACAGUCAACCGGAUAAACAGGCAGAUUGACUCUGUGCAAACAUUUUUUGCUUUCUUUUCACUGUUCCUGGAUUUGGAGCCUCUUUUUUUCUUGGUUUGAGUUAAUGCAUUGUAACAAAGUUGUGGCUCGGACUAAUUACAUUUCCAUUUCAAGAAUGCCUUGGAGUCCUCCCUCCCUCCUGCUUCUCAGAGAGGGUACUCAGCUGGCAGGACCAAAACACUCCCUUCAUUGAUAUAAUCAAGAUGCUACAGCCAUGCUGACAUUGCAGCACCUGAGAUGCUUAUUCACAUGUGUGUGAUGUUAUUAACUCAUCCCACUGGCUGCAAAUGCUCUGGAGAGCUGUGUACAGAGCUGGCUUCUGGUGAACCAGCAUGGCUGGAUUGUCUGUGCAGCAGCUUAACCUGCCAACCCCACACCCUUGUCAAAGCCCUGCUCCCUUAUCAUCCUGGAAAUAUUGCAAAGUGUAUUUCCAUUUAAAAUAAAGGUACUGGCUGCAAGCAGCCACAUCUCUGCUUUAUUUGAAGCAUUUUUGCCCCUGUUUGCUCCAAGUAGGCCUUGAUUCCCAUCAGUUGAUUGAGCCCAUCCUUUCAGAUGAGAUGGGGCAGACAUCCUAGUGCAGCCAGCACAGCACAGUGCUGGAAAAACGAGACCCUGCCAGGCCAGACUCUUUUUUUGGUGCAGAAUGUCUUUGUACAGCCCAUCACACUGGCCUCAGCUGAGCCAGCCUGCAGUGCUGCUGCACCUGAGAGCAGACUGUGGCCCAGAGAGAGCAGGGCAUGAUCUGCCAAGGGCAUCGCUCAGUUGAUGACUUUGCUGUGGGGAUUUCUCCUGCUUAGGGAGGCAGCCACAUGUAAGCAUCAGCAAUGAAUCUCCUUAUUCUUUAAUCAAAUUAGUGUCAAACAAAUUGGGUUUUGGGGGCCCCUUCCCUAGGUUUGCUAACCCACUCACCUCUCCCUUUGUUUAAUACAACAAGGCCAGAAAUAGGAGACUUGAAGAACAGAACAUUUUAAUUACUCACCUUUUCACUCACUUUUUCUUUCUUUCCCCCAAGGACAGUGUGUGGGACACUCUCUUCUUCAUUGCUUCAUUACCCUCCCUGAGGGAGGACAG